UCAAUAUAUAUAGAGAAAAAAAUAUAAUUCUAAAAAACUAUGAGUGACGUCACAGCUCGACCACAUUAGACAUGUUUCCUUUGCCUGAACCGCCACCCACUAAAAAAGUAUAAAACGUCACGUAAUGUACAACAAAUGACCGAAAACAUAACCUAAACUCAUUGUUUACUGCUCCUUCCUUUUGCACUAUUUUUGAUUGUUUCGUAAAUUCAUUAUAAUUGUUUUGUUAGAUCAUCAUCAAAAUCAAAAUGACACCAUUUUUACACUACAGACUUGGCUUAUGCCUUCUUCUUCAGUGGAUAUUAGCCACUCUUAUUUAUAUAUAAAUAUUCAAUACAAAAGACUUGGCUGUAUGGGCUAGUACCCUUUGCCUCCUCAAUAAAACGAGGGAAUAAACAAAAAAAAAAAUCAAAAUUACACUACACAAAAAUCUUGGAAACCGAUUAAGUAUCUAUAUUGCUUUGUUUCAACAUGUAAAAAUAGUACGAAGAGGACACCAAACAAGUUGCUUUUUAAGGUUCCUUUCGUGAAUCGUAAAACUUGAUGUGAUCGCUCUGAUGUGCCAAAGGCCAGUUGGAUAUUUACGAGGAUCAUAUUAACGUUGAAGAAGAUGUUGAUAACUAUUUGCAAUCGAAAUUUGGGAAAUAUCAACCUCAAUUGAAAAGUUCGGUAUGUAUACACACAGAAAAAGUAAUUCAAAGACUGAGGAGAUUCAAGUUUUUGAAGCCACAGUCUACUAUUAAUAAUAACUUGGAUCGACUGUGUUGAUCAUGUAGUUUUUGUAGCUUGUGGUUUAAUCAAUUUAUCACCCAUAAUAAAAAAGCUUUAAAUAUCAU